UCGUUGUCUUUUUUUUAACAACUUGCAUCUUUGAGAAUAACAGUUAAAACAAGAAUGCCUAAAAAUGCACCAAGAAAUCAUCUAGUGUUUGAAAAUAGACAAUUGUCAUAUUUUCCUGAUCACUGACCUGUCAGUAAUAAACUCAAAAAUCAGAUCUUAUGCCCAACAGUGAAUGCACCAGACAUACACGCUACCCUGCUGCUGUAAAAAGAACAAAAAAAAAAAAAAAAAAAACAUUUGGUACAGAUUAUUCAGAAAAGGAAACUCGAAGCCAUUUUCAGUAUCGGUGAAAUGUUUAAAAAUAAAGUCAGAGGAAGCACAAAGAUUUUAUCCAUUCAGACUGUGAGAGAGCAAAACUUCCAGCAGUUUACGGAAAGGCUGAGCAAAAUGCAGAAAAGCUUUUCCAAAUCUGACUGCUUUGGAACAUACUGAAGCCUUUUGGAAAUUCAUAGCUAAGGUGAGAAUCUAGGGAAUUCAGGGAAUACACAAUGAGACAGCCUUUUUGGCAUCCGUAGUCAGGAUUUUUGAAGACAAAAUAUACAAAAAAAGGGAUGACUCCAGAUUUUCACAGCAGUGUACUUAAAGACAAAAAAAAAAAAAAAAAAAAAAAAAAUACCUACACUAAUAAAUUCCUUCUUCACCUGUAAACUAAUGCGCCUCUGCCUUGAAUCUGUCCACUUCAGUCAGGUUAAAAACUGUGCCGCUGAAUAGCUGGCACAUUGACGAGCAUAUUGUCAGAGUCAAGAUGUCAGAGUGUUUCAUCAGUGUCAAGCAUCUCACAUUCCAACGAUAGCCAACGUUUACAUCCAGUGCAAAUGUUCCUUUUUUUUUUUUUUAAGCACCUUUUCGGACCAAAAUGAAACACAAAAUUACCCCA